UAGGGAAUCUUCGGCAAUGGACGAAAGUCUGACCGAGCAACGCCGCGCGAGUGAAGAAGGUUUUCGGAUCGUAAAACUCUGUUGUUAGAGAAGAACAAGGACGUUAGUAACUGAACGUCCCCUGACGGUAUCUAACCAGAAAGCCACGGCUAACUACGUGCCAGCAGCCGCGGUAAUACGUAGGUGGCAAGCGUUGUCCGGAUUUAUUGGGCGUAAAGCGAGCGCAGGCGGUUUCUUAAGUCUGAAGUGAAAGCCCCCGGCUCAACCGGGGAGGGUCAUUGGAGACUGGGAGACUUGAGUACAGGAGAGGGGAAUGGAAUUCCAAGUGUAGCAGUGAAAUGCGUAGAUGUAUGGCGGCACACCAGUGGCGAAGGCGGCUCUCUGGUCUGUAACUGACGCUGAGGAUCGAAAGCGUGGGGAGCAAACAAG
rnacentral:rRNA from 1 species